rnacentral:rRNA from 1 species
UGGCUCUUUCAGGGUCCGAGUUGUAAUUUGCAGAGGGCGCUUUGGCUUUGGCAGCGGUCCAAGUUCCUUGGAACAGGACGUCACAGAGGGUGAGAAUCCCGUACGUGGUCGCUAGCUAUUGCCGUGUAAAGCCCCUUCGACGAGUCGAGUUGUUUGGGAAUGCAGCUCUAAAUGGGAGGUAAAUUUCUUCUAAAGCUAAAUACUGGCCAGAGACCGAUAGCGCACAAGUAGAGUGAUCGAAAGAUGAAAAGCACUUUGGAAAGAGAGUCAAACAGCACGUGAAAUUGUUGAAAGGGAAGCGCUUGCAGCCAGACUUGCUUGCAGUUGCUCAUCCGGGCUUUUGCCCGGUGCACUCUUCUGCAGGCAGGCCAGCAUCAGUUUGGGCGGUGGGAUAAAGGUCUCUGUCACGUACCUCUCUUCGGGGAGGCCUUAUAGGGGAGACGACAUACCACCAGCCUGGACUGAGGUCCGCGCAUUCGCUAGGAUGCUGGCGUAAUGGCUGUAAGCGGCCCGUCUUGAAACACGGACCAAGGAGUCUAACAUCUAUGCGAGUGUUUGGGUGUCAAGCCCGAACGCGUAAUGAAAGUGAACGGAGGUGGGAACCCGCAAGGGUGCACCAUCGACCGAUCCUGAUGUCUUCGGAAGGAUUUGAGUAAGAGCAUGGCUGUUGGGACCCGAAAGAUGGUGAACUAUGCUUGAAUAGGGUGAAGCCAGAGGAAACUCUGGUGGAGGCUCGCAGCGGUUCUGACGUGCAAAUCGAUCGUCAAAUUUGGGCAUAGGGGCGAAAGACUAAUCGAACUAUCUAGUAGCUGGUUCCUGCCGAAGUUUCCCUCAGGAUAGCAGUAACGUAUUCAGUUUUAUGAGGUAAAGCGAAUGAUUAGAGGCCUGGGGGUUGAAACAACCUUCACCUAUUCUCAAACUUUAAAUAUGUAAGAAGUGUUUGUUACUUAAUUGAACGUACACAUUUGAAUGAAACGUUAUUAGUGGGCCAUUUUUGGUAAGCAGAACUGGCGAUGCGGGAUGAACCGAACGAGGGGUUAAAGUGCCGGAAUAUACGCUCAUCAGACACCACAAAAGGUGUUGGUUCAUCUAGACAGCAGGACGGUGGCCAUGGAAGUCGGAAUCCGCUAAGGAGUGUGUAACAACUCACCUGCCGAAUGAACUAGCCCUGAAAAUGGAUGGCGCUCAAGCGUGUUACUUAUACCCCUCCGCCGGGGCAAAAUUUACGCCCCGGCGAGUAGGCAGGCGUGGAGGCUCGUGACGAAGCCCUAGGGGUGACCCUGGGUAGAACGGCCUCUAGUGA